rnacentral:rRNA from 1 species
GACGGAGGGUGCAAGCGUUGCUCGGAAUCACUGGGCGUAAAGGGUGCGUAGGCGGUCUCGCAAGUCUGGCGUGAAAGCCCAAGGCUCAGCCUUGGAAGUGCGCUCGAAACGGCGAGGCUGGAGUGCCGGAGGGGGGAGUGGAAUUCCAGGUGUAGCGGUGAAAUGCGUAGAUAUCUGGAGGAACACCGGUGGCGAAGGCGGCAUCCUGGACCGGUACUGACGCUGAGGUGCGAAAGCGUGGGGAGCAACAGG